GAUGGUUCAUUCAAAUUUCUGCCCUAUCAACUUUCGAUGGUAGGAUAGUGGCCUACCAUGGUUUCAACGGGUAACGGGGAAUUAGGGUUCUAUUCCGGAGAGGGAGCCUGAGAAACGGCUACCACAUCCAAGGAAGGCAGCAGGCGCACAAAUUACCCUAUCCCGACACGGGGAGGUAGUGACAAUAAAUACUGAUACAGGGCUCUUUUGGGUCUUGUAAUUGGAAUGAGUACAAUUUAAAUCCCUUAACGAGGAACAAUUGGAGGGCAAGUCUGGUGCCAGCAGCCGCGGUAAUUCCAGCUCCAAUAGCGUAUAUUAAAGUUGUUGCAGUUAAAAAGCUCGUAGUUGAACCUUGGGCCUGGCUGGCCGGUCCGCCUCACCGCGUGCACUGGUCCGGCCGGGCCUUUCCUUCUGGGGAGCCGCAUGCCCUUCACUGGGUGUGUCGGGGAACCAGGACUUUUACUUUGAAAAAAUUAGAGUGUUCAAAGCAGGCCUAUGCUCGAAUACAUUAGCAUGGAAUAAUAGAA
rnacentral:rRNA from 1 species